rnacentral:rRNA from 1 species
UGGGGAAUAUUGGACAAUGGGCGCAAGCCUGAUCCAGCAAUGCCGCGUGUGUGAAGAAGGCCUUCGGGUUGUAAAGCACUUUUAUCAGGAGCGAAACGCUGUCGGCUAAUACCCGGCGGAACUGACGGUACCUGAGGAAUAAGCACCGGCUAACUUCGUGCCAGCAGCCGCGGUAAUACGAAGGGUGCAAGCGUUAAUCGGAAUUACUGGGCGUAAAGCGUGCGUAGGCGGUUUCUUAAGUCUGCUGUGAAAUCCCCGGGCUCAACCUGGGAAUGGCAGUGGAUACUGGGAGGCUAGAGUGUGUCAGAGGGUGGUGGAAUUCCCGGUGUAGCGGUGAAAUGCGUAGAGAUCGGGAGGAACAUCAGUGGCGAAGGCGGCCACCUGGGACAACACUGACGCUGAGGCACGAAAGCGUGGGGAGCAAACAGGAUUAGAUACCCUGGUAGUCCACGCCCUAAACGAUGCGAACUGGAUGUUGGUCUCAACUCGGAGAUCAGUGUCGAAGCUAACGCGUUAAGUUCGCCGCCUGGGGAGUACGGUCGCAAGACUGAAACUUAAAUGAA